rnacentral:pre_miRNA from 1 species
CUUCUACUCCCCCCGUUCGGAAUUACUUGUCACAAAAAUGGAUGUAUCUACAACUAAAAUACAUCUAGAUACAUUCAUUUCUUGGACGAGUAAUUCCGAACGGAGGGAGUAUUAG